rnacentral:rRNA from 1 species
UACGUAGGGUGCAAGCGUUAAUCGGAAUUACUGGGCGUAAAGCGUGCGCAGGCGGUUUUGUAAGUCAGAUGUGAAAUCCCCGGGCUUAACCUGGGAACUGCGCUUGGGACGGGAUGGCUAGAGUUCGGGAGAGGAGAGUGGAAUUCCCAGUGUAGAGGUGAAAUUCGUAGAUAUUGGGAAGAACACCGGUGGCGAAGGCGGCAACCUGGUCCUUGACUGACGCUGAGGCGCGAAAGCGUGGGGAGCAAACAGG